rnacentral:rRNA from 1 species
GAUGAACGCUGGCGGCGUGCUUAACACAUGCAAGUCGAACGGUGAAGGCGGAGCUUGCUCUGCUGGAUCAGUGGCGAACGGGUGAGUAACACGUGAGCAAUCUGCCCCUGACUCUGGGAUAAGCGCUGGAAACGGCGUCUAAUACUGGAUACGAGCUGCGAAGGCAUCUUAGGAAGCGGGAAAAAAUUUCGGUAAGGGAUGGGCUCGCGGCCUAUCAGCUUGUUGGUGAGGUAAUGGCUCACCAAGGCGUCGACGGGUAGCCGGCCUGAGAGGGUGACCGGCCACACUGGGACUGAGACACGGCCCAGACUCCUACGGGAGGCAGCAGUGGGGAAUAUUGCACAAUGGGCGAAAGCCUGAUGCAGCAACGCCGCGUGAGGGACGACGGCCUUCGGGUUGUAAACCUCUUUUAGCAGGGAAGAAGCGAAAGUGACGGUACCUGCAGAAAAAGCGCCGGCUAACUACGUG